GCCAGACUCCUACGGGAGGCAGCAGUGGGGGAUGUUGCACAAUGGGGGAAACCCUGAUGCAGCGACGCCGCGUGGGUGAAGAAGCGCCUCGGCGCGUAAAGCCCUGUCAGCAGGGAAGAAAAUGACGGUACCUGACUAAGAAGCCCCGGCUAACUACGUGCCAGCAGCCGCGGAAAUACGUAGGGGGCAAGCGUUAUCCGGAUUUACUGGGUGUAAAGGGAGCGUAGACGGCAGUGCAAGUCCGGAGUGAAAGCCCGGGGCUCAACCCUGGGACUGCUCUGGAAACUGUAAAGCUGGAGUGCGGGAGGGGCAGGCGGAAUUCCUGGUGUAGCGGUGAAAUGCUUAUAUAUCAGGAGGAACACCGGCGGCGAAGGCGGCCUGCUGGACCGUAACUGACGUUGAGGCUCGAAAGCGUGGGGAGCAAACAGGAUUAGAUACCCUCGUAA
rnacentral:rRNA from 1 species